rnacentral:tRNA from 9 species
UCCUCUUUAGCUCAGUUGGUAGAGCAACGGACUGUUAAUCCGUGUGUCGCUGGUUCAAGCCCAGCAAGAGGAGCCA